rnacentral:rRNA from 1 species
UACGGAGGGUGCAAGCGUUGUCCGGAAUUAUUGGGCGUAAAGAGCGUGUAGGCGGCCACACAGGUCCGCUGUGAAAACUCGAGGCUCAACCUCGAGCUGUCGGUGGAAACCGUGUGGCUAGAGUCCGGAAGAGGAGAGUGGAAUUCCCGGUGUAGCGGUGAAAUGCGCAGAUAUCGGGAAGAACACCCGUGGCGAAGGCGGCUCUCUGGGACGGUACUGACGCUGAGGAGCGAAAGCCAGGGGAGCAAACGGG